UCCUCACUGCUUCAGUCUGCAUUUCUUCUUGCUGCCGCCAUGAGAAGAAGGAUGUGUUUGCUUCCCCUUCUGCCACUAUUGAAAGUUUCCUGAGGCCUCCCCAACCGUGCUGAACUUGUGAAUACUCUAAGACGCUUAGAAGUAAACAUGGAGAAGGCUUUGCUGGAAGAGAAUUUCACGCACUGUGGCUUCAGAAAUAUAAUCUUUAUGGC